CGCGCCAUUUACUGCGAAGAGGCUGGUUAGCGGCUUCCCUAUCAAUCAUAAUUUCUACCCCAGAUCGGCGUGCUGUCGAAUCGCGACGAGUCUGUACACCCAGCAGAAGGUAAAGGAACUUUGAUACAUACGCAUCGGGGUGAAUAUUAAGCCAUCCGACCUGGUACACGUGUGUGUAUAGGGCUCAGUUUGAGUUUGUAGAGUUUUUUUACAAUUGCCUUGAACUGGCAUAAUAUGAGGCACCUCUCUAAUCACGACCAAUAUUCAUCUCACCUCAAACGCUGCCUCUGUUAUCAGCGCUACUAGUUGUUAACUCUGUUAUGGAGUACGUUGACCAUGAAUGGUUGACCUAGCACUGUUUGGGAGUAACAUUUCUGGAAGUAGCCGAACUAUUAUCUCGUGGCAUCACGUCUGGCACAACCGGAACAGGGUGCCAAAGGUGUCGAAGCUGCUGCAGGAAGUAAGGUGCAAAAAAAGCAAAUGCAAGAAUUAUAAACAAUGGUGCUCAGAGCAACUUGCCUGAUAAGAAUUUGUUCCGUUGGUCGGAGGUGGAACGUAAAGCCGCCAAUGGUGAACUGAGCUGUGGCCCAUUUGGUUGGACACAUGUACGAAAUACAUUUAUUUAAAUGUAGUGAGCGUCCUUGGGAAACUCAUUUCGGUGUCUCUGGUGACAUAUAAUCGAGCGGCUGAUUGUCCUACUUGAUGGAUUUGUACAUGCUAAUCACCCUCAAGCAAUGCACCUCAUGUCAUCUGCAUUUCUAAACGAAUCGGUUUCUAUGGUCCUUGAAUUUAAACAUGGAAAUCGAAGCAUCCGAAAGAUCUGAAAGUAGAAUUGCUGUGUCGAGAUUUAUCGAGAGCUCUCCCGACGUCCGUGCAGUUUCAAAUGUAAUACAAUCGGAGAUCCAAUUUAAGCUUGUCUCGUAUGCGAUCACUUUUGGAGAAGAAUUAUGACACUUGCCGAAUGUGUGUUCGUUGAGCAAUCAGGUUGUUCACCAUGUUUAAAGCUCGAUUACACUCACAAUUGUAUGACAUUUGCAAUGCGUCACCGAAAACAGUGGAAAGUUAUUGGUUAGGAAUGUGUUUCUCUUUCUCUUUGCCGGUUCUUCUAGAUUCCACCGUCAACAACUCGUCCUUUUCCUGACAACUGAACUUAAGUUGUGUAACGCAAACGUUUAAUUUGAAAACGACACAAACCACCUUCUACCGUGUGCUCUUCACUUUCUCUUUAGCGUCGAGCUGUGUGGGGAUGACAGUUGCUUAUGCAUUACCGGCACGUCGUCGAAGAACUUUAAUAUACUUUUUGUGCGAUCAGUUCCGGAAGCGUGUUUGGUUCCCUCGGGUCUGUCAACCGUGCGAGGCACGUAAACUCGACGGCGACAGUGAUGAUGCGUAUUGCGCAUAUCGCACGAUGCGUUGUGCUUUUUUGGUGCGCCUAGUACCGCCACACUACGUUGAGAAGGGCCCUUGUCAUUUGCCAUUAGCGUCAAGUCGAGUUAUUUCUUCACUUUCAUCGCACUGCGCGCUUGGUUGUAGCCGACUUGCGCAUCGAUCGCGCAUAGCUUCUCACAUGCCGUGGACGCUAUCGUCCGAAAUGGAGCCGAUUGUUACAACUGGACAAUCCGACAAACCGUUACGGAACUGGAAUGGAAAAAGGGGGUGGUUGGUACUGCGGGACAAACGAUGAAGUACAUUUUCUCCAAAUGGAUAAACAGUAAGGGACGCGCGCGCUUACUCAUACGCUCACGCGGAUGUGCAGGAAUAAUGGUGGUGGUGGUAGUGAUUGCGGAAAAAUGAACGAUGUAGCCGCCGUCACCAGUAGCCAGAGUCGGUACCUUCAGGACAAUCAAACGAAUGCAAACCGAUUAUGAGCUUGCUGGCCUGCGAGAGGCUUCGAUUCGAUUCUGAGGCUCGUUUCGGAGCAACCAUCAAUUCCAAUCACGCCAAUUUGACACUCAAUAGACUCUAUUUUUGGUGCGACUUCCAAUGAUAACUUGCAAGAUGACGAAAGAUAGGAAGAAUUGAUAAAUUUUAACAGGCUGAGUAUGAAGCGUAAUUCUGUAAAUUAAAUUUACUUACACAAUUAUAUGUAUAUCUUUAGCAUACUUUGGUCUUAUCAAAUGAUUUCGUACAAGAUAUUUUUUUCCAACCCUUUUUUAUGCGAAUGAACUAUUAUGCCAAGAAAUCGUAAGAAAGGCCUAGUCCCCAGAGAAGAAGACUUUGAGUGAGAUGGAGUCAUCAGUUCGUGAAAAAAAGUCAGGCGUCAAUCGACGUUUUUGCAUUAGGGGUACCACUUCGCCUACUACCCAUGAAUGAAUGUAUCACUUCGCUUUGCAUCCUGUACGUCCGGCACAGAACAAUGAUUGUACCGCAUCGUACCGGAUUGUACUGCUUUUCCGAAUAGUGUGCCGUUUCGUCGAUCGAUUGAACUAUAGAGAAGACCUGAACGAUUUCCAUGGGUCGUAAUACUCUGGUGGUGUUGGAAGAGGAGUUGCUCGUGGCGUGUCGAAUUGAUAGUUUAUGAUUGAAACCGCACACUACGCUCACACACCCCAUCACUAUAUUCCUGGUAAAAGGGUAUACGAAGAAGCAUCACGUGUAAGCAUUCGCAGCUGUAUGACUGCUUGAUUUGACUGACUGGCAAGAAACGUCGUAUUAUCGCCGGCAUCAACUCAUACCGGAUCACAUUUGCUGGAUGGAAGUAAGAAGGCGACCGUGGAGGUCUGGUAUGGGAAUUGUUGUAGCAAUAGGCUAAGGUGAUUCACUUCGGUCGGCGGAAGCAGACGAAGAUGCUUUCAGUGCGGCCAAUCGAUUCCGGAUGAAGGGUAGAGAGAGGGCAUUCGGUUUGCCUGGAAGGUGCGGUUUGAUUGAUAAUGAUAAUGAUAAUGACGUUACCUCCAGAAACCUUGUAGAAGGAAUGAUGCAGUACUAGUUCUUUGCAUUUAGGAUGUCUUUUUCUAACAUUGUAAUAAGGAAGCAUAAAGUUUUCUAGCCUGCCGUGUAAACUGCUACGUAUUACUCCAUGAAUGAAUUGAUUCCAAAUCGGCUGUGCUAUUAGA